ACCACGCUAUCCCUUACGUACGCAAAGGCAAUAAACCUCUACCCGAGAAACGUCAUCAUGACGUUGGUAGACAGACUGAAACCGAAACAAUUCGGAAGGGGAGGGCUGGGUUCCACGAAUGGACAGUUGUUCGCUGCCUCCUACUGAAAGAAAAGCAGGACCGAAGGUCGCGUCCCUUUCGGGGGCCAUCGUAAUCCCCUCAAAUCCCUGGCUUUCGGGCGCGAACUUGUUCGCCCCCUAGCUUCGAGCAUAGUUCAACUCUACCAAACUGGUGGCGCUGUCGAACACUAUGACGUCAUUUGUUUACAAACAGGGAGAGGUCUAUAACGUACGAUACACUAAAACUCUCUCCUAUCUAUACCCACUAUGAUCACCGGGUAUCGGCACGGGUGACUUUAUCGGUCGAGAUAUAGGUGGAGGAGAGCGAGGAGGAAAGCACGCCCCAAGAAGGUGUCGCCGAAGAACUGCCAGGGAUAUCCGAACGACGCUGUUCGUUCAAAACGUGAAGGAGGGCGCUGAAAGCGGGGCUGCUGGUAGACGACACCAGCAGACGAGCGGCAGAAACGGAAAUAUUCCGUGGGAAAGCGCAGGGGAUAUGCGGGAAGAUGUGGUGUAAGGCUUAGCUGGUCACGUGCACUAAACUACCUCUGAUGCCACUCCACCGAUAUCUCGCCCGAUAAAGUCGCUCUUGCGCAUACUCGAUUAGUGCCUUCUCCAAAACGCUGUGUGCGAUAUGCGGAACUGCUAGCUUUUGUACACCAGGGAGUGGAAACGAGACAUACGCAUAAACCGAAAGCCAAAUCGAAGUCCCCGGACCGACUUCAGCAUCGCAUACAACACGUUGAAGGCACUGAUUUUCUCGCCGCAACAUCAGCGACGUUCUGUCCAUUUAUUUCCCCUCUUCGACUACACGAUAAGGAUGACAGGGAAAGAAUGACAGUCUGGGCCGCUCCUUCACCACUACGCCGACGGACAGGAGGCACGCUCUUCCCCUCUCCAGCUGGCUGCUCGCCACCUAGCGGACCCCAGCAGAAGCAUUCAAUGAAUGAUAGUAACAGCAGACGACAGGACAAAAACUACUGCGGAGAAGAAUAUUCAAUGUCGAGAAGGAGAAGAGGGAAAAAGAUACCAUCACAGGAGCAGCGUGAACGAAAACGAAGAAGACAGCGGGAAACCACGCGCGAGUUAUAUUAUGUAUGGUAAGCUAUAUAUUAUGUUAUGUUAGUUACACUGAUCUCGAUUGUAAAAGGCUGGAUGGCGGAUAGGGAGCGCGAGCGUGAAGAAACCGGCCGCCAUCUUACGGUGCUCACAACAGUCGCCGCAGCGAUCAUGGCAACUUCUUGCAAUUACGGUCGUACCAACCGUACUGGCAGGGUUACAGGGCCUAAAUUUAUACAGGUUUCGUCAUGGGGGCUACCUAGUGAAUAAUCUGUGCAGUGUGAUACGGCUGGGUGUACAGGUAAGUAUCACGUUCCUCAUCCACUGGUUUCUACUUUACAGGAAGGAACAACCUCAGUGCACGCACUGUGGUUAGCCUCUCUGAGUUUUGCAUAUUUUCUUACAUGUUCACAUCAGAAACACACCUUACACUUUAGGCUCCUUCACCCAGGAAUAUAAUAAUUAAAGAUUAUAAUUCUUUUUAGAAGAGUUCCCCAUGUUCUUUGUAGAAUAGUUUUUAAUCUUUUUAAUUUUUAGAAGAUACUGGGAUUGUAAACCAUGUUUUAAACUGAUGUUUUAACAUUUGUCCAAUGCAUUUAUUAAACAACAUAUUCAUUUUUAACUGGUUGCACCCAAACCAAUGUUCUGAUGUAUUAUUUCCUUUGUUGUUGAUGCACCAUAAAAAUUGGAAUAAUCAUCAUCAAUGCAGGUUACUUCACAGUUGCCUCGACAUACUCAAGAAAUGGGUGCAGAACCUGCGUAAUGCCCACAAACUUCACAGCACCUCCAGAAAGUAAAGGCAUAUGUGUCACAUGGGAUUUUUAAAGGCAUUCACAGUAUAUAAUACCUUGUAUGAACUGUUGUAGAUCUAAGCAGCCUCUACAGUACACUCUCAGAAAUUAAAACUUGUCAGGGAACAGUAAUAAUUAUUCCAGUUAAUAGGCAUGCACAUGUACACUAUAAGAAGAAAAUUAUUUAUUGAGAAUGCCCUACUGUUGAUCACACUCAUGCAGCUGUAGGUUUACCUUCGGCCUCUUGGAACACUUUGUGGUUGCCUUAGCUGCAGGGAGAGUGUCAUCCAGCAUGUCAACUACUUGCAGAAAUAUUGACGUAUUUAAGAUUAUGACACAGUUUGAAGGGUUUCAAUUCAGGAAAUUUGCAGUGGCGGGGCCUGCCAGAGUGAAACCUACUGAAUAUUUUAUGGUGUCGAAGUGGCAGUUCCUCCAGGAUAGGAAUAUCUUAGAUGAGAGCAAAAAGCUUGAAAUUAACAAAGUGUUGUUUGCAUUAAGCAAUUUGUAAUACACUGAACACAUAGGCAGCAAAACAAAAAUUUAAAAUUCAGCAUGUAUGAAAAUUGGGUGCAACAAAUUUGCAUAAUGUACGUGUACAUUGUCAUUCCUGAGGUAUAUAUUGCCAUUGUAGCAAGGUCACAAAACAAUAAAUGUAGCCUUUUGCGACCUCCCUGCACGUUCAUUGUAUCCUGAAACGCAUAAGUGCAAGAAAUAAAUCUUCAACUUGAAUAAACUUGAUGUUGUAUAAACUUGAC